rnacentral:rRNA from 1 species
AUUCGACCUGAGCUCACAGGUAAGAGCACGC